rnacentral:rRNA from 1 species
UACGGGGGGGGCAAGCGUUGUUCGGAAUUACUGGGCGUAAAGGGCUCGUAGGCGGCCAACUAAGUCAGACGUGAAAUCCCCAGGCUCAACCUGGGAACUGCGUCUGACACUGGAUGGCUUGAAUCCGGGAGAGGGAUGCAGAAUUCCAGGUGUAGCGGUGAAAUGCGUAGAUAUCUGGAGGAAUACCGGUGGCGAAGGCGGCAUCCUGGACCGGCAUUGACGCUGAGGAGCGAAAGCUAGGGGAGCAAACGGG